AACCAAUUAAGUGAAUAAAACAAUGCUAUAAUUUAUUUUACUAAAGAUAAAUUUUGCAUAGGUUGUUUAGGUUUAAGAGCAAAUUUUUAUGAGUCAAAUACUUGUUGCCUAUGCUGGUUUCCAUAGGCAUGAUGGAACAAUGAUGAAGCUUUUCUCAUUAAAGAGUAUAUUUGUUUGGGGGGGGGGGGCUUGUGUAAUAAAAAAUAAGAUGGUAGAGGGAAAGUUUCUGGCUUCUUUCUUUCUUUUUAGACUAUUAGUGCCUUCAACAUCAGGUAUACACAAUGCUGGGAUAAUCAAUAGUGAAUAGGGUGCUACCCAAGCUAAAAGCUCUCAGAUAAUUUUAAAUAAUUGUUAGGAAUUAUGCUUUCAUCACUAAGUUACAUUUACAUAAUUCUUUACUUAGUGCUUUCACAUAAAUAACAAUUAUGGUAAUGAAUGUGUUUAAAACAGUGAAGGUAGUUUGAAAAAUUCAUCUCAGCUUUCUUUUCACCAGAUAGUCAUCAACUUCUAUGAGAAGUUGAUGGUAUAUAUUUGGACAUGCUCUCCAAGGCCAAUUUGUGGUUUAUUCUGAAUGUAUUACCUUUAAAAAGAACCAUUUUUCCUAAUAGCUUAAAAAUUAGAGCUUGGUAGUACUGAGAAUUAAAGCCC
rnacentral:lncRNA from 1 species